AUUGAACGCUGGCGGCAUGCCUUACACAUGCAAGUCGAACGGUAACAGGUCUUCGGAUGCUGACGAGUGGCGAACGGGUGAGUAAUACAUCGGAACGUGCCCGAUCGUGGGGGAUAACGAGGCGAAAGCUUUGCUAAUACCGCAUACGAUCUACGGAUGAAAGCGGGGGAUCUUCGGACCUCGCGCGGACGGUGCGGCCGAUGGCAGAUUAGGUAGUUGGUGGGAUAAAAGCUUACCAAGCCGACGAUCUGUAGCUGGUCUGAGAGGAUGAUCAGCCACACUGGGACUGAGACACGGCCCAGACUCCUACGGGAGGCAGCAGUGGGGAAUUUUGGACAAUGGGCGAAAGCCUGAUCCAGCCAUGCCGCGUGCAGGAUGAAGGCCUUCGGGUUGUAAACUGCUUUUGUACGGAACGAAAAGCCUCUUUCUAAUAAAGAGGGGUCAUGACGGUACCGUAAGAAUAAGCACCGGCUAACUACGUG
rnacentral:rRNA from 1 species